AAGGCCUUAGUUUAACAAAAACAUUUGAUUUGCAAUUAAAAAAUGCAAGAUAGAGUCUUGUAGGUCUUA
rnacentral:tRNA from 1 species